rnacentral:rRNA from 1 species
GACGAACGCUGGCGGCGUGCUUAACACAUGCAAGUCGAACGGAAAGGCCCUGCUUGCAGGGUACUCGAGUGGCGAACGGGUGAGUAACACGUGGGUGAUCUGCCCUGCACUUCGGGAUAAGCCUGGGAAACUGGGUCUAAUACCGGAUAGGAGCCAUUUUUAGUGUGAUGGUUGGAAAGUUUUUUCGGUGUAGGAUGAGCUCGCGGCCUAUCAGCUUGUUGGUGGGGUAAUGGCCUACCAAGGCGGCGACGGGUAGCCGGCCUGAGAGGGUGGACGGCCACAUUGGGACUGAGAUACGGCCCAGACUCCUACGGGAGGCAGCAGUGGGGAAUAUUGCACAAUGGGCGCAAGCCUGAUGCAGCGACGCCGCGUGGGGGAUGACGGCCUUCGGGUUGUAAACUCCUUUCGCUAGGGACGAAGCUUUUUGUGACGGUACCUAGAUAAGAAGCACCGGUUAACUACGU